UCCAAUUAACUUUAAAAAAAAUUUAUGUAGAAAAUUCAUUUUGAGAGGCAAAUUAAAGUAAAUGAAUUUUCUAUGAUUAGUUGUCGAUUGGCUAGUUAAUGUAAACCACGACGUUCGGACUAGUCGUCCUUUGAUGAAUUUGAGAAGAGAAAGGGUAAGAAGAAAGGAGAGGGAGGAAAUGAAGAUGGGUUUCAGUUGGUUUAUGGGAAGAAUAAGAAGGGAGAGUCUGUCUCUGUGGUGAGUGGUGGUGGUGACUCAGUGAGUCGGAUGAAGGUGCAGGGAGACUCGGUGAAUGUGAAAGUAAAGGAAAAGAAAGAGAGAGCUAAAGUGCCGUUUCAUAUACCCACUAUAAAGAAACCUCAAGAGAAGUAUAAUAUCUUGGUGAAUAAUUUGAACCAGCCAUUUCAGCAUGUUUGAUUACAGAGGAGUGAGGAUAAUCACCGCUUUCUCCAUUCUCUGGUCGCGCAUGGAGCAGAUCUGGAUAUUGUAUCGCUUCAAUGAGACCUUGGCAUAUAUAUUUGCAAUAUGUUUGAUACUUGACAGUCAAAGUUUGGCUUCAAAAAGGAGCAUUUAUUAGUUUCUGACUCCAGUAAGAAAUAAUCUGCCUCAAGGGUCUUGAAAUUGGAGAGAAAUAGUUUGGAGUAUCUUCUACAGCACUUUUGUGGAGUUACUGCCAACAAAGAAUAUCAGGAUGCAGAUUGGAGAUUACUCCUCCUUCCCAAUGAGAUGCUGAGAUAUGUCAGAGAAGAAUAGAAGAUACACACUAUUUGUUGUACGUAUAUGAUAUGAUGAAAAUCAAAUUGUUUCCAUGUCUAAGGAGUCUGAAACCUCUGAUGCUUCAUUGAUAGAGGUCUACAAGCGUAGUUAUGAUAUAUGCAUGCAGCUGUAUUAAAAAGAGCUUCUGACAGAGAAUUCAUCUCUAUAUAUAUAUAUGGGUUGCAGGGGCCUGAAUAGAAUGCUCAGCAGCUUGCCAUUGUUGCAGGCUAUUGUCAAUGGCGAGAUGCUGUUGCUGGUGCAGAGGAUGAACGUACUGGUUAUAUUUUACCUAUCAAAACUCUUCUUGAAAUUGGUUGAAGGAGUUGAAGGCAUCAUGGCUGCCUAUGCGAAUGCUCUCCACAAUGUUUCUCUGGCAGGACCUACUCUGUUUGGCCAGGUGAUAAACAUGGCUGCACAAAUUACUGGUCAGUCCCUCUCACAUGACAGUAGCAAGUAUUUUGUCUUGCUCAUUAUAACGGAUGGAGUUCUGACAGAUCUUCAAGAAACCAAAGAUGCUUUGGUGAGAGCAUCUGAUCUUCCCCUUCAAUUCUUAAUGUGGGAGUGGGAGGUGCUGAUUUUACACAAAUGGAGAUUCUGGAUGCUGAUAAUGGCAACUGGUUAGAAAGCUCUACAGGUCGUGUAGCUACACGAGACAUUGUACAAUUUGUUCCUAUGCGAGAAGUUCAAAGAGGCCAGAUUUCUGUUGUUCAAGCACUUCUGGAAGAGCUGCCUGGACUGUUUCUGGGUUACAUGCGAUCUAGAGAUGUCAAACCACUCAAUCUUCACGCGGCCCAAACACCUGCUUUAUAAAAUUUAAAUACCACCAAAAUUCCAAAAUCGGGUAAAGAUGUUAGGAUUAACUGUUCAUAUGAAGUAGCAAUUGAUGGUAUAGAUAUUAGGGUGAAGCUUUUGAAGCUUCAUCAAUGAUUUGAUUAACUGUAAAUAAUGAUGAGAUGAUGAAAUUUUGUUUUUUAUUAGUGAUAAUUUGAUUGUUUACAUACGUUCUUGGGCAAUAACAAUUGAGUUACUAAAAGUUUCUGGCAAUUUAAGUUUAUCCAUCCAUCAUUAAAAUGUUACUUCUAGAAAUUCAAGAGUUUAGUUUGAAGUCUACUCAAUAUAUGCAUAGUUCGAGUUUUCCCGAAUUAUUAAAUCUCUGAAAAUUUCCUAGUGAAAUAUUUUCUCAUAGUGAAGAAGCUUGCAAUCCUUGGAAGAUCCAUCAUAGUCAAGAAGUGUAGUUGACAAAGACCUUGUUGGGGGUUGACCAAAUUGUAAAGAGUUAGAGACUCCAAAAGGGAAAAGGCAGGAAACGCAUCAUGAGAUUCUUGAUGCUGAUAAUGGCAACCGAUCAGAAAGUUAUACAGGUUGGGUAGCUACGCGAGUUGUUGUACAAUUUUUUCCUAUGCGAGAAGUUCAAAAAGGACAAAUUUCUGCUGUUCAAGCACUUUUAGAAGAGCUGUCUGGAUAGUUUUUGAGUUACAUGCAAUGUAGUGAUAUCAAGCCACGGGGCCCAAACACCUGCUUUAUAAAACUCCAAAAUCAGAGGAUUGCACUGUUCAUAUGUAGUAGCAAUUUAGAUGGUAAAAAAUUUAGGAUGGAUACAUUGAUAAUUUGAUUAGACAAUGAAAUUUGUUUCUGUUAAUAAUAUUUGAUUGUUUAUAUACGUUCUUGGGCAAGAGCAUUUGCUUCAAAUA